rnacentral:rRNA from 1 species
UGCAGAGGUCUCAAGCGUUGUUCGGAUUCAUUGGGCGUAAAGGGUGCGUAGGUGGCGUGGUAAGUCGGGUGUGAAAUUUCGGAGCUUAACUCCGAAACUGCAUUCGAUACUGCGGUGCUUGAGGACUGGAGAGGAGACUGGAAUUCAUGGUGUAGCAGUGAAAUGCGUAGAGAUCAUGAGGAAGACCAGUGGCGAAGGCGGGUCUCUGGACAGUUCCUGACACUGAGACACGAAGGCCAGGGGAGCAAACGGG